ensembl:lncRNA
GUCCUGUGUGUAGCUGCAGAGAUAAGAACUGUGAGUUAUGCUGCAGAGUUGAUUCUGACCACAAUGAUGGCCCAUCAAGCAGCCAUGUGAGCAAAAAUCGAUCAUUUUCUUUUUCUUCCCUACACUGAAGCCUCGGAGUCUAAAAAAGAAUCAAGUCUUGGCUGGCUGCAGCGUGCUCGGUCAUGUCGGCCUCUUUGUGACCCCACGUGAAGGUUUCCUUUUUUGAGGACUUCAGUAAUUCGUGGAGAAGAUAAACAGAGAAAGGAGGUGAAAGGUAUACUUGUCUGGACUUUUUUUUGAGGAUCUAGAAGAGAGUCUUAUUAAGA